rnacentral:tRNA from 1 species
GGCCCGUUGGCAGAAUGGCAUAAUGUGCGUGGUUGCAACCCACGUUAUCCCGGUUCGAUUCCGGGGCGGGCCUCCA